rnacentral:rRNA from 1 species
GCUGGUGUUUAACUUAAGCGUGUCCCACCCGUUCCCAUUCCGAACACGGAAGUGAAAUCGCUUAAGCCUGAUGAUACUUGCUGCUUCGGCGGCCGGGAAAGUAGGGUACGCCGGCA